GACGAACGCUGGCGGCGUGCUUAACACAUGCAAGUCGAACGGAAAGGCCCUGCUUGCAGGGUACUCGAGUGGCGAACGGGUGAGUAACACGUGGGUGAUCUGCCCUGCACUUCGGGAUAAGCCUGGGAAACUGGGUCUAAUACCGGAUAGGAGCCAUUUUUAGUGUGAUGGUUGGAAAGUUUUUUCGGUGUAGGAUGAGCUCGCGGCCUAUCAGCUUGUUGGUGGGGUAAUGGCCUACCAAGGCGGCGACGGGUAGCCGGCCUGAGAGGGUGGACGGCCACAUUGAGACUGAGAUACGGCCCAGACUCCUACGGGAGGCAGCAGUGGGGAAGAUUGCACAAUGGGCGCAAGCCUGAUGCAGCGACGCCGCGUGGGGGAUGACGGCCUUCGGGUUGUAAACUCCAUUCGCUAGGGACGAAGCUUUUUGUGACGGUACCUAGAUAAGAAGCACCGGCUAACUACGUG
rnacentral:rRNA from 1 species